CCCUCAGACCCGCAUUUUAUCCACGGGUCCUGUGAAGCCCGCUCGGCCCAGACUCUCCCGCCGCGCGUGGCUGCGAGCUCCAAUCCCGUCGCUCCCUCUCCCCUUCCUCCUCCGCUCCCAGCCGCCGCCUCCGCUCCGCGCCCGCCCUCCGCGCCCCCGCUCCGCGCCCGACGCCGCCAGGCCACCGCUCGCCGUCCGACGCCGCCGCUUUGUCCUCCUCCUCACGUUCUCCUCCUCCAAAUCGUCCCCUCAAUCCCCAUCCGUUCGCCGUCGCUACUGCCCCUCUCCUCCAUCCUUCCUCCUCCCUGCUGCUUAGUAGGAGGAGCACGAUGCGCCGCCGCACUUCGUCGUCCUCCCAAUCCCAGCACGAUUCUCCUCCCCCAAUCGAUCUCCGGCGAGUGCGAGAGGAGGAGGCCGCCGCUGCUCGCUCAGAGUUGGGUCCCCACGAGCACAAGAGGAGGAGGCCUCCGUUACCGUGCCCCACCAUGGGCCGCAGCCUCACCCAGCGACCCUCCUUUUCUUCUGCAUCUUCGUCCACCACGUCGCGCGAAGAGACGAGGCCCUGCCCUCCGCCCUCAUCUUCCUCCUGCGACCUCUCCCCAUGGCUGAGCAGCCCACACUUUCGUGAGAUUUUGGAGGAGGAGAGUUGGAUGUGGCGCAGUGCCACCCUCUACCCGAUGCAACCCGUCGGUUUGACAGUGAUGAAGCCUACUGUUUCUACAGAUCUAAAUGUGGCAGAGAGAUAUGAAGUAGGCAAGAAGAGACGGCAAUGGAGUGAGGAAAAGGAGAGGCCUAGCAACGGGGGAACCACAUCAUGAAUCUCCACUCCAUGCCCACAUGUACCCAUUUUCCCAACAAUGCCAACGGACUUCUCCCAGGAAGAAGUUGAUUUGGCAUCCAACUAGCUGGUUGAACCAGGACCACGCCCUUAUAAUAUUGUCAGAACACCAUUUGUUCAGUGCAAACAGGACAAUUUAUGUCUGUUUGAUUCUGGUUAGGAAGCGCCACUUUAUCAACUCGUGGACUGGAUUGUUACUGCUCAGGAAGCAUGUUUCUCCAGAGGCAAGGAAAAUGGACAUGCUACAAAUGAGGUUGAUAGGUUUACUGCCAGGUUCAGAUCUUCCGCUCACGAAAUUUGCCCUUUGGGGCAGCAUACAUUAUAACUUAAACUCGGCUUUGAUGGUACAAUACUGAAGUGUUUGAUGGAUCGUGGAUUCAUGUUCAUUGAUGCAAGCUCCGUGCAAUAUGGUCAUUGAGCCUGAACCCAACGAUGUUAUCUAGUAUGUUCACCAGACACAACUUUUGCUUAUGGUAUUAUUAGCUCCAACGCCUGCGAACUGCUGCUGAUUUAGGAGUGAGAACUAGAAGCAUCAUGCAGACUGCACCGCGAUCUCACCCUCAUGCCAGUGCCCAUGUCGAAAAAGCUAGCACGUUCCUGGGGAAUGGCAUGUCAUGUGUCGAGGUAAUGAACUCUAUAUUUCCUUCCAUACAUAUUGCAAUUUUUGUUGCUAUAUUGUGUACCAUUCAUAGAGUACACAAUGUUCCAAAUAGUCAAUGGAAGGUGCAUGAAGGAUAGCAUGUAUGGAAUGUACUUGCCACUUUAUGUGUGUACCUUAGUGUUGCUUCAAGUAUUGGUUCCUUUAUUAGCUUUGAUGGAAUAUUUUUAUCUUAUAUUCGAAUUUAGAAGGUAUCUGUAUAAGUAUCACCAAGUGAUUUGUCUCCAAUAGAUGUCACUUAUUAAUGCUAUUUUAUUAAUAGUUCAGGUAUGGCCUUACUAAUACGAGUCCCACUGAAAAGAAUGUCUUGGGUAGGUUGGUAUUUUGAAUUUCUCUGUAUCUUGAUCUUGCAUAUUGGGACUUGCUCCUUGGGUUGCCCGUUGCCCCAGUCAUGGGUUUCCCUCUCUACUAUCUCAGAUGUAUCUUGAGUUCACUUCCAUUUCCUGGACAAACACUUGCAUGUCAGGUAAUAUGACUACUCUAUUUUGUUUCUUUGUAUAAUUAAUUGAUUGUUAUGAUUCAUUUCCCGUACUAAAAGUGAUUGAAACAUAUGUCUUAAUAUUGAUUAUUCUGUUAUGUGUGGCAACUCCAUGCUUUUGGCUCAUUAUGAUCUUUAUUCCAUCACAAGCAUUCAAUUCCUAUUAAUGUACAUUUGGUUACAGAGUGAGGUUGUGCUCUUCUUUCAGUUGUCUCCGAAUAUAGAUUUACCUCUUCUUUUGUUUACAACCUCUUGGAUGUGCAAUCAUGUCACAUCAUUUGCAAACAUCGAUCAACAGUACAUGCCUGGACAUAGUGUGCCAGCAGCGAGGAGUAUCACCGCCGCGUCUGCGUCAUUUGUUGUCCUCGGUAUAGAGAAUCUGUCUAUGCAGCACCACUAGGUGUACCAAUUGCUUAUGUUGUUCUCCCUAGCGCCUUAAACCAUGGUCAAUGGUGCACUAAGAUGGCAAACUACAGGAGAAUAUUUGGGCUAAGGAAUUGAGAUUUUCUUUAGUAUAUGGCUAGGCUAUUCGUUUGCACUAUGCUUAAAGUAUUUUCUCAGUUUUGAGUUAAUUAGCAUUCUUACAUUCUUCAGUUUUUUAUUUCUUUCUUUGUAGAUUGCAGCCCUCCUCUGUGCAAUAAUUCCCUGGAGACAAAGGUUGAAUUUCCUCUGUCAUUUCAUGGUCUAACCAAGAUUUUGAUUUAGCUCAUUAUUUUGUGCUUGAGACAAUUUUAUUAUCAAACCAAACUGCUGAAUGCAUGCUUGUCUAAAAUGUCGCAUACCCAACUAACUCCGUAUGAAAAUAAGAAAAGUCAAUAUCAACUGGCAUGUCCUGAAACCAAUCGGAAGGAAAUAAUUAAGGUCUCUGCUGGUGAGGGUGGUCCAUAGUUCUGCAUUUUUGAAACUUCAAACUUGGAUGCUCCUCUAUUCUGUUUCAGGAUGUGUAAACUUAUCCAGAAUUAUAAUCACCGGUCAUUAUUGUACUGAGGAAAGGGGAGAUAAUGUAGUUGAAUAUGUUCCUAAUUAUAUAAAAGUAAAUGUGUUUACUUAUCUACUACUAUCUAUUUUCAUCUGCCUUUUCUUAUCCUGGACUGGGCUUCAUUUCACAGUGGGUUGAUAUGAAAAUCCAUAACUGCAUAUUGGAUAAUUCAUUUCCGUUUUCGUAUUCUUUAAAUAGGUAAACACACCAAGGAUAUUGACAUAUUGUAGUUCUGCUCAUGUGUGGCAUAGCAGCAGCGGUGGGACGAGUUUACUUGUGCUAGGACUGAACGAUGAAAGAGGUUGCUGGAUUCAACCUUUGCAACUACGGCUUGGGCGCAGCCAAAUACAUUCUAUUUUCUGGACCUUUCCUUCAUAAAUUGAGCAUUAUGAUCAAUUCAUUCACAAGGUUGUUGAGGUUCUAACAAUUUUUAUGCUUGAGGUGAUGCUGAAGCCCAACCACAAGUACAUGACUCACGUGGCUGAGAUAAAAUAGUGGCCAUCAUCACGUUCUACCCAUGAAUUCACAGUCGUUAGCCUGCGUAUGGGAGUCUUUCAGUGUGUAGAAGUCCUAUGGACAGUUUGGUGGACGCCAAUAGGAUACACUUAAUGAUUAUAAAAAUACUGCAAGAUUAUAGCUACAAUGAGGUUGACAGCAAAAAUGGACUCGUGAGAAAACUCUGCUGCUCAUCUAACUCAGCUGACUAAUCACUGAUUUACAUUGAUGCUUAAUAUAGCAUUUUAAGAAUUAUGAAAGAUGGGGUCAUGGGAGAGAAAGCUUUAUUGCUGUCAAACAUGUCUUCGUUUUUUCUGAACAAGUACUGAAUACUACUAUAUUGUAUUUUGGAGUGGUCUUCUUUGUAACGUUCACGACUAGGGGUUUAGGUUUAAACAUGUAGGUGCCUCCUUGGAGAUGCAUAUAGAGAUGAGAAUGAACACAAUAAAUGAAUGUUAAUUGCUAUAAUUUAUUCUCUCCUUUUUCCUGGUUGUAUAAAAACGUUUGUUACUCCAUUUGAAAUUUUUCAUCAUGUUUUGUAAGACAUGAGAAAAUUAUUAUUACUUUUUUCACUUAUA